rnacentral:rRNA from 1 species
CGUAGGGGGCAAGCGUUGUCCGGAUUUAUUGGGCGUAAAGAGCGUGUAGGCGGCUAGGUAGGUCUGCUGUGAAACUCGAGGCUCAACCUCGAGACGCCGGCGGAAACCAUCUGGCUAGAGUCCGGAAGAGGAGAGUGGAAUUCCUGGUGUAGCGGUGAAAUGCGCAGAUAUCAGGAAGAACACCCGUGGCGAAGGCGGCUCUCUGGGACGGUACUGACGCUGAGACGCGAAAGCGUGGGGAGCGAACAGGAUUAGAUACCCUGGUAGUCCACGCCGUAAACGAUGAGUGCUAGGUGUGGGGGGUGUCGACUCCCCCCGUGCCGAAGCUAACGCAUUAAGCACUCCGCCUGGGGAGUACGGCCGCAAGGCUA